rnacentral:rRNA from 1 species
UACAGAGGGUGCGAGCGUUGUCCGGAAUCACUGGGCGUAAAGGGCGCGUAGGUGGUGGCUUAAGCGUGCGGUGAAAGCUCGGGGCUCAACCCCGAGUCGGCCGUGCGAACUGGGCUCACUGGAGCAUAGUAGAGGCAGGUGGAAUUCCGGGUGUAGCGGUGGAAUGCGUAGAGAUCCGGAAGAACACCGGUGGCGAAGGCGGCCUGCUGGGCAGUAGCUGACACUGAGGCGCGACAGCGUGGGGAGCAAACAGG